rnacentral:rRNA from 1 species
UAGGGAAUCUUCCACAAUGGACGAAAGUCUGAUGGAGCAACGCCGCGUGAGUGAUGAAGGUUUUCGGAUCGUAAAACUCUGUUGUAAGGGAAGAACAAGUACGUUAGGAAAUGAACGUACCUUGACGGUACCUUAUUAGAAAGCCACGGCUAACUACGUGCCAGCAGCCGCGGUAAUACGUAGGUGGCAAGCGUUGUCCGGAUUUAUUGGGCGUAAAGCGCGCGCAGGCGGUUUCUUAAGUCUGAUGUGAAAGCCCACGGCUUAACCGUGGAGGGUCAUUGGAAACUGGGAGACUUGAGUGCAGAAGAGGAAAGUGGAAUUCCAAGUGUAGCGGUGAAAUGCGUAGAGAUUUGGAGGAACACCAGUGGCGAAGGCGACUUUCUGGUCUGCAACUGACGCUGAGGCGCGAAAGCAUGGGGAGCAAACA